AGGGCAGGACCACAGCUCACAAGGAUCCCAAUGCCAUCUUCCUGAGCUUCCAACACCUGCUCCGAGGAAAGGUCCCUGGACCAAAUCCCCGGAUACCUGAACAGGAUACACGAACUCUUGAAUGGAACUCGUGGACUCUUUCCUGGACCCUCACGCAGGACCCUAGGAGCCCCGGACAUUUCCUCAGGAACAUCAGACACAGGCUCCCUGCCACCCAAC
rnacentral:lncRNA from 1 species